rnacentral:rRNA from 1 species
CUAUGCGCCUUGCCAGCCCGCUCAGGUGUGCCAGCCGCCGCGGUAAUACGGAGGAUGCGAGCGUUAUCCGGAUUUAUUGGGUUUAAAGGGUGCGCAGCGGAUUUUUAAGUCAGCGGUCAAAUCGUGGGGCUCAACCCCAUCCAGCCGUUGAAACUGGGGAUCUAGAGUGUGCGAGAGGUAUGCGGAAUGCGUGGUGUAGCGGUGAAAUGCAUAGAUAUCACGCAGAACUCCGAUUGCGAAGGCAGCAUACCGGCGCCCGACUGACGCUGAGGCACGAAAGCGUGGGUAUCGAACAGG